GUGAACGCUGGCGGUAGGCCUAACACAUGCAAGUCGAACGGCAGCACAGUAAGAGCUUGCUCUUACGGGUGGCGAGUGGCGGACGGGUGAGGAAUACAUCGGAAUCUACUUUUUCGUGGGGGAUAACGUAGGGAAACUUACGCUAAUACCGCAUACGACCUACGGGUGAAAGCAGGGGAUCUUCGGACCUUGCGCGAUUGAAUGAGCCGAUGUCGGAUUAGCUAGUUGGCGGGGUAAAGGCCCACCAAGGCGACGAUCCGUAGCUGGUCUGAGAGGAUGAUCAGCCACACUGGAACUGAGACACGGUCCAGACUCCUACGGGAGGCAGCAGUGGGGAAUAUUGGACAAUGGGCGCAAGCCUGAUCCAGCCAUACCGCGUGGGUGAAGAAGGCCUUCGGGUUGUAAAGCCCUUUUGUUGGGAAAGAAAAGCAGCAGGUUAAUACCCCGCUGUUCUGACGGUACCAAAAGAAUAAGCACCGGCUAACUUCGUG
rnacentral:rRNA from 1 species